UUCAGUUUCCCCCCAACCCUAAAUUCAGUUCCGACCCUAGCCCGAGGCGGCCAUCGUCUCCCCCCACAAACUUCUAGGUCUAGCGGCACGGCCAUCGUCUCCCCCUCCGGCCUACAUUCGCCGGUCCACCAUCUUGGAUCAGUUCAAGACCAGCUUCGAUCAGUUCGUGGUCGACAGAUCCCACGACAUUUUCCGUUGCUGGAGGCUUGGAGCAGGGCACGUUCGAGGACCGGGACGAGCUGAGGAAAGGGCUGGUCCACACACUGGUGCCUGCCGGUCUGAAAAGGCAAGGCACACUGGUUGCUGGAGGCUUGGAGCGGGGCGCAUUGGAGGACCGGGAGGAGCUGAGGCAGGAGCUGGUCCACAGGUGAGCUUUGUUAACUCAUUGCUUGUUGUCAUUGGGUUUAGACCGAGUGUUUUUUGAAUUUGGGCUUGUAGCGGGCCGCGGCCAUUCUGAUCUUUGCGAUGGACAGCGGCUGGGAAGGGGGCGAUGCAGAUGGAAAUGUGGCCUUUUUUCCUUUCCUUCUUUUGAUGGAAUCGUUUUUGGCCACUAGGCCACGUCGGAGGAGGGAGCUGGGCUGCUGCAGCUUAUGGGCCGACUUAUUGAAUACUUUUAAAUCUUAGCCCAAUUUUGAUAACCCAUAAUGAUGUGCAUCAUCUUAUUUUUGCACAAUGACAUAUAUCUGGAAUAAAAUGCUGUGGGUCACCAAUAGCAUCAGUGUGAAUCAUAAAAUAUAUGAUUUUUAUGCAUCGGUAUAGGUAUUGGAUUUUUUAGAACAAUGGUCUGCUUUCCUUAAAUGUUCAUUUUCCUUGCUGAUAUAGAAAAUACUCACGUUCUAUUUGUCUGGUCAAAUAUUUUUUGCUACCUUGCAUGAUGCAAGGUACCAAUUGACUCAAUCUUUCUUAAAUGGAAGCAAAUCAAUCAUUAUCCAAAA